rnacentral:rRNA from 1 species
UACGUAGGGUGCGAGCGUUAAUCGGAAUUACUGGGCGUAAAGCGUGCGCAGGCGGUUCGUUGUGUCGGCGGUGAAAGCCCCGGGCUUAACCUGGGAAUGGCCGUCGAAACUGGCGAACUGGGAGUGUGGCAGAGGGGGGUGGAAUUCCGCGUGUAGCAGUGAAAUGCGUAGAGAUGCGGAGGAACACCGAUGGCGAAGGCAGCCCCCUGGGCUGACACUGACGCUCAGGCACGAAAGCGUGGGGAGCAAACAGG